CCUACGGGAGGCAGCAGUGAGGAAUAUUGGUCAAUGGACGAGAGUCUGAACCAGCCAAGUAGCGUGAAGGAUGACUGCCCUAUGGGUUGUAAACUUCUUUUAUAUGGGAAUAAAACGUUCCACGUGUGGGAUUUUGUAUGUACCAUAUGAAUAAGGAUCGGCUAACUCCGUGCCAGCAGCCGCGGUAAUACGGAGGAUCCGAGCGUUAUCCGGAUUUAUUGGGUUUAAAGGGAGCGUAGGUGGAUUGUUAAGUCAGUUGUGAAAGUUUGCGGAUCAACCGUAAAAUUGCAGUUGAAACUGGCAGUCUUGAGUACAGUAGAGGUGGGCGGAAUUCGUGGUGUAGCGGUGAAAUGCUUAGAUAUCACGAAGAACUCCGAUUGCGAAGGCAGUUCACUGGACUGCAACUGACACUGAGGCUCGAAAGUGUGGGUAUCAAACAGGAUUAGAUACCCGAGUAGUC
rnacentral:rRNA from 1 species